AUGUCGUCGGAAGCUGGUCGGUGUGAUGCGGUGUUAUGGUGUGCAAUUGUUGUUGUGGAUCUGCAGAGGAAGUUGUGCGGUGUCGAAGUUGGUUUCGACGGAAGCUGUCGGUCGUGGUCUUGCUCAAAGGCUUUUCGGAACAGAGUUUUUGGUGAGAGUUACAGUGUUUUCUCUAGAAAUUUUUUUCGAUCUCCUCCCCCCACUGUAAUUAUUUUCUUUUUUCUUUUCUCUCCCUUACUGUCACGAUUUUCUUUCUUUGUGUAA